rnacentral:rRNA from 1 species
GAUUUGAUCAUGGCUCAGAUUGAACGCUGGCGGGAUGCUACAUGCAAGUCAGACGGCGGCACCCGGACUUCGGUCUGGUGGCGAGUGGCGAACAGGUGAGUAAUGUAUGGAACGUUGCCUAGUGGCGGGGGAUAACUACGCGAAAGCGUAGCUAAUACCGCAUACGCCCUUCAAGGGGAAAGCGGGGACCUUCGGGCCUCGCACUAUUAAAGUGGCCGAUAUCGGAUUAGCUAGUUGGUGGGGUAACGGCUCACCAAGGCGACGAUCCGUAGCUGGUUUGAAGGACGACCAGCCACACUGGGACUGAGACACGGCCCAGACUCCUGCGAGGCAGCAGUGGGGAAUUUUUUUGGACAAUGGGAAACCUGAUCCAGCCAUCCCGCGUGUGCGAUGAAGGCCUUCCGGGUUGUAAAAGCACUGGCAGGAAAGAAACGGCCUGGAUAAUACCCCGAUGCAGCGACGGCCACCUGCAGAAUAAGCACCGGCUAACCGUGCCAGCAGCCAUGACAAUACGUAGGGUGCAAGCGUUAAUCGGAAUUACUGGGCGUAAAAGCGUGCGCAGGCGGUUCGGAAAAGAAGAUGUGAAAUCGAGCUUAACUUUGGAACUGCAUUUUUAACUACCGAGCUGAAGUCUGUCGGAGGUGGAAUUCCGCGUGUAGCAGUGAAAUGCGUAGAUAUGCGGAGGAACACCGCCGAUGGCGAAGGCAACCUCCUGGAUAACACUGACGCUCAUGCAGCGUGAGGUAAACAGGAUUAAGAUACCCUGGUAGUCCACGCCUAAACGAUGUCAACUAGCUGUUGGGGCCUUCGGGCCUUGGUAGCGCAACUAACGCGUGAGAUUGACCGCCCGGGGAGUACGGUCGCAAGGUCGACUCAAAAUUGACGGGGACCCGCACAGCGGUGGAUGAUGUGGAUUAAUUCGAUGCAACGCGAAAAACCUUACCUACCCUUGACAUGUCUGGAAUCCCGAAGAGAUUUGGGAGUGCUGCAAAACCGGAACACAGGUGCUGCAUAGCUGUCGUCAGCUCGUGUCGUGGUGUUGGGUUAAGUCCCACCAACGAGCGCAACCCUUGUCAUUAGUUGCUACGAAAGGGCACUCUAAUGAGACUGCCGGUGAUAAACCGGAGGAAGGUGGGGAUGACGUCAAGUCCUCAUGGCCCAUAUGGGUAGGGCUUCACACACGUCAUACAAUGGUCAGGACAGAGGUCGCCAGCCCGCGAGGGGGCCAAUCCCGAAACCCGAUCGUGGUCAGCGGAUCGCAGUCUGCAGCUCGACUGCGUGAAGUCGGAAUCAACUAGUAAUCGCGGAUCAGCAUGUCGCGGUAGAUACGUUCCAGGUCUUGUACACACCGCCGUCACACCGUAAGGGUGGGUUUACCAAGUAGUCAUCACCAUCAGAGGCGAUUACCACGGUAGGAUUCAUGACUGGGGUUGAAGUCUGUAACAAGGUAA